rnacentral:lncRNA from 10 species
GCCGGACCCAGUGGCUCACGCCUGUAAUCCCAGGCCUAGGCGGGAGGAUCACCUGAGGUCAGGAGUUCAAGACCAGCCUGGCCAACAUGGUGAAACCCCGUCUCUACUAAAAAACAAAACAAAACAAAACAAAACAAAAAAACCCCAGAAAACAAAACAAAACUGGAAAAUGUCAGCUGGGCUUUUUUUUUUUUUUUUUUUUCUG